rnacentral:rRNA from 1 species
GGAGUUUGGGCCGUGUCUCAGUCCCAAUGUGGCCGUUCACUCUCUCAAGCCGGCUACUGAUCGUCGCCUUGGUGAGCCGUUACCUCACCAACUAGCUAAUCAGACGCGGGUCCAUCCCAUAGCGCUAAAGCUUUCAAUACAGAAGCAUGCGGAUCUGUAUUACUAUGCGGUAUUAGCAGUCGUUUCCAACUGUUGUCCCCCUCUAUGGGGCAGGUUACCCACGCGUUACUCACCCGUCCGCCACUAAGUCAUCCCAAAUGAAUCCGCUUCCGUGCAAGCACUUCCACUUCUUCGGUAGGGAUGCUUCGUUCGACUUGCAUGUGUUAGGCCUGCCGCUAGCGUUCAUC